rnacentral:rRNA from 1 species
UACAGAGGUCCCAAGCGUUGUUCGGAUUCACAGGGCGUAAAGGGUGCGUAGGCGGUCGGGUAAGUCUGAUGUGAAAUCUCGCAGCUUAACUGCGAAACUGCAUUGGAUACUAUCCGGCUCGAGGAAUGGAGGGGAGACUGGAAUACUUGGUGUAGCAGUGAAAUGCGUAGAUAUCAAGUGGAACACCAGUGGCGAAGGCGAGUCUCUGGACAUUUCCUGACGCUGAGGCACGAAAGCCAGGGGAGCAAACGGG